CCUCUCACAUCCUAAAUGAGCCUCAUUUAUUUGAAACACUCCAUUUGAGCUGCAUCCUUUCUGCCAGGCUGCUGCAUCGUGGACCCCUCUUCCCAUCGCACGCUUGGGAGGGAGUCAUGGAUGCUGGACCUUGGAGAGUCAAUGCUUGGGGGGGUUAUACGAGGGGAGAUUCCUAAUGGAUUGGAGUUUUGCUGAGCAGUCUCUGAAGAGGUGCUAUUGGUGCAGAUUUGGGGCACAUUGUCCUGUCCCUCCCCAGGUAAUCCAGCUGGUCCCCUCGACUCGCACAGGGGAACAAGUUUUGGGUAAAUCAGAAGCUGUGGGGAGGCUGGCAAAUCUAACUCCCAAGUAAAGGGAAGACCGAGACUGAGGGGCAAGUGAGAGGGGGCAUGUCAUACACAUUGGGGGGGGGGGACACAUCUUGGACUUUGGAUUUCUGCUGAUUUCUUCGGAGUUGAAAGCCCGGCAGGGGGUCCACCAUUGGUCUUAGUGAAAGCAGCACCAUGGGCUUAGAGAAAGUCUAUUUUAUCCUGGAAG